UGGGGAAUAUUGCACAAUGGGCGCAAGCCUGAUGCAGCCAUGCCGCGUGUGUGAAGAAGGCCUUCGGGCUGUAAAGCACUUUCAGCGGGGAGGAAGGCGAUAAGGUUAAUAACCUUGUCGAUUGACGUUACCCGCAGAAGAAGCACCGGCUAACUCCGUGCCAGCAGCCGCGGUAAUACGGAGGGUGCAAGCGUUAAUCGGAAUUACUGGGCGUAAAGCGCACGCAGGCGGUCUGUCAAGUCGGAUGUGAAAUCCCCGGGCUUAACCUGGGAACUGCAUUCGAAACUGGCAGGCUAGAGUCUUGUAGAGGGGGGUAGAAUUCCAGGGGUAGCGGUGAAAUGCGUAGAGAUCUGGAGGAAUACCGGUGGCGAAGGCGGCCCCCUGGACAAAGACUGACGCUCAGGUGCGAAAGCGUGGGGAGCAAACAGG
rnacentral:rRNA from 1 species